GCUAAGUAGUUCACUGAACCUUCAUUUGAUCCUUACUCUUAGCUGAGGAUUCAUCAUACGCAGUUGUCUUCAUGUCAUCUUGGAUUCACAGCAAAAGUUAAUUAUAUGAACCAAGAUAAGAGACUGGGAUUAGUGGCUUAAUACAGCUGACAUGGUGCUUCUGCUCCAGAAGGCUGGAGGACAGCUGCUGCUGCAACACUACCCAGGCUCAGCUCAUGCAGGGGGCACAGUUGGAGGCACUGGAAGGUUGGCUGUUCCCAAUAUAGGACAAGCAACAUUUAACAUCAUAGCAAUCAGCAGUGAUCAAAGCUACUUCAGCUGAAAGUUUGUUUUUGUCUGUGAUACCAAGUCUAAUGUGCCACAGAGCACACUGACUGCAUAUGAUCCUUUCCACUGAAGGGAUAAGUCCUCAGCAAGAUACACAGCACGGAACAUGUCAACUUUCUUUGUUGUUUAUGAUAUCUUCUCUGAGAAGUGGCUGUACUGGCAGAAGAAAUGCUGCCAAGGGCAAGAUGAGUUCCUUAAAAUGUCAAAAUUAUCAUUACUCUUCCUUCAUCAAAGACCUACUUCAGACAAAUCACUAGGAAGCUCACCCUUUCGUGAGGAUCCUUCCUGUCAGAAGACUCAAUUCCUCUCUCUCCCACACCACAAGUCCCUUCUCAUAUCUUCACAUGACACUCCUGUGACAUCCUCCGCACUGUGAGCCACCACAGUGCAACAGGAGGAACGUCUUAGAAACACUAAGACAACGUUUUCUUCCUCUUAAGGUUGCACUCCCUGUGAAUUUUAAUCACUCUUGAAAAGGAUCUUCUUGCUGUGAUGCUUAUAAAAAACAACCCAAAACACCAUCAAUGUGAAGGUUUGGUGAGCUCAGACAAGCAUUCGUCAGGUUACUCUGACUCCACUAGACAGGGUGUCCUUCCAAAGGCCUCCCUCAGGGCAAUCUCCUCAAUGCCUGUAGUCUGGUUUUCAGAGUACCCAUAAAAAUGCCCCUCCUAACCCCCAUCAGCACAGUCUAGUGCAAUGAGUCUUUUUGGGUCAGAGCUUUUCCUGGGGAGUUCUUCUCUUCGUUCCCCCCUCUGCCCCAUUUCCUCUCACCUAACAGUAAGUAUUUGAAUUCCUCAGCAGGCUGCAAAUAGAAAUCAACAGGAAGGGCAAACAGGGUUGAUCAGCUUUGCACACAGCAGUAGGUCUUGCUGCAGUCAUCAAGAAUUAUCAGAUGAGUUUCAGCCCUGAGUCAGAGGCAGCAAGGAUGGUAUGCUACACAAGCAAGUACACAAAGAAAGUUUCAUUUCAGUGUCACUGAAAAGACUCCAAGAAGCAAGAUCUGGGAGCAGGUAGCACAGUGCCUUCAAACCAACCAUUUCAGAUUUACACCUGUGCUACCCUACACAUCCUUUCUUCUAGAGGAAGCAUUCCAGCCUUGGAUAAAUGAUUCCUGUUAAGAAAAAUAGAGUGAUAUUGACAGAUCACCAUCACCUGCAAAUCAUUUGGAAAAGAGCUCCUUAACACCUUAUGUAAAAUCAUGAAAUAAAUUCAACGUUAAUUAUUCUCUACAAAGAUAAGCAGCUCAUGUAUUCAUUUUGGGGUAUUCUGUGAUAUCAGAAGCCACUUUUCUCCAUUUUUAGUGACAACAUUACAGCCCAGGGAGGCUUUUCAUUGACUUGCUUGCUUUCAUUUGUCCCAAAUAGUCAAAGAACAAUUGAAAACAAUGAAGCACUGCAGUGACAAAGUGGAGUAAUUCUGAAGGCAGAUUUUACAGACAUUAACAUCGAUAAAGGUUGUUUGGUGAUUUUCCUUCCAUGCAGUGUACAAACUCCCUUCCAUCAAGUGUUUCCAAAGGCAAGCUCUUGGGGCUUGUGUCGGAUGUCUUGACUGUAAGUUUAACAAACGCGUGUGGAAAUCUAAUGGGUUAUUUAUAAAGGCCUCCUAUGUAAAUAUUGAUGAGCCAACUGUUCAGUUAAUUUACUCAGCAUAGAUUUACUGUACGUGUGAGCCAGAAACAUAAAAAACUUGCUAAUAAUAAAGUGUCUGGAUAUGGACAGAUACUCUGAGUUCUGCAAGGUUUGUAGUUGUAGUACCCUAACAGGAGUAGUUAUCAGUGCGUCAAGACAGCUAAUAUCAGUGCUUAAUUCUUUCUUUCCUACAAGUAUUUUUCAAACCUUCCUAAAGUGGGGUAGGUCUCUUCUCACUGGUGACAGGUGACAGAACAAGGGGAAAUGGCCUCAAGUUGCACCAGGGGAGGUUUAGGCUGGUUAUCAGUAAAAACUUCCCUAUAGAAGGGGUGGUUAAGCACUGGAAUAGGCUCCCCAGGGAGGUGGCUGAGUCACCAACCCUGAAUGUGUUUAAAAUCCAUUUGGAUGUGGUGCUCAGGGACAUGAUUUAG